UACGUAGGGGGCAAGCGUUGUCCGGAAUCAUUGGGCGUAAAGCGCGCGUAGGCGGCCCGGUAAGUCCGCUCUGAAAGUCCAGGGCUCAACCCUGGAAAGCGGGUGGAUACUGCCGGGCUAGAAUCCGGAAGAGGCGAGUGGAAUUCUUGGUGUAGCGGUGGAAUGCGCAGAUAUCAGGAGGAACACCAAUAGCGAAGGCAGCUCGCUGGGACGGUAUUGACGCUAAGGCGCGAAAGCGUGGGGAGCAAACAGG
rnacentral:rRNA from 1 species